rnacentral:rRNA from 1 species
GACGAACGCUGGCGGCGUGCUUAACACAUGCAAGUCGAACGGAAAGGCCCAGCUUGCUGGGUGCUCGAGUGGCGAACGGGUGAGUAACACGUGGGUGAUCUGCCCCUAACUUCGGGAUAAGCUUGGGAAACUGGGUCUAAUACCGGAUAGGACAAUCGUUUAGUGUCGGUUGUGGAAAGUUGUUUCGGUUAGGGAUGAGCCCGCGGCCUAUCAGCUUGUUGGUGGGGUAAUGGCCUACCAAGGCGUCGACGGGUAGCCGGCCUGAGAGGGUGGACGGCCACAUUGGGACUGAGAUACGGCCCAGACUCCUACGGGAGGCAGCAGUGGGGAAUAUUGCACAAUGGGCGCAAGCCUGAUGCAGUGACGCCGCGUGGGGGAUGACGGCCUUCGGGUUGUAAACCUCUUUCGACAGGGACGAAGCUUUGGUGACGGUACCUGUAUAAGAAGCACCGGCUAACUACGUGCCAGCCGCCGCGGUAACAC